UCCCUUGGGGGUUUGUGGCCUUGAACCGUGGCUUUCGGAGCUACCGCGUUAAGUAGCCCGCCUGGGGAGUACGGUCGCAAGAUUAAAACUCAAAUGAAUUGACGGGGGCCCGCACAAGCGGUGGAGCAUGUGGUUUAAUUCGAUGCAACGCGAAGAACCUUACCUACUCUUGACAUCUACAGAAGCCAGCGGAGACGCAGGUGUGCCUUCGGGAACUGUAAGACAGGUGCUGCAUGGCUGUCGUCAGCUCGUGUUGUGAAAUGUUGGGUUAAGUCCCGCAACGAGCGCAACCCUUAUCCUUGUUUGCCAGCACUUCGGGUGGGAACUCCAGGGAGACUGCCGGUGAUAAACCGGAGGAAGGUGGGGACGACGUCAAGUCAUCAUGGCCCUUACGAGUAGGGCUACACACGUGCUACAAUGGCGCAUACAGAGGGCGGCCAACUUGCGAAAGUGAGCGAAUCCCAAAAAGUGCGUCGUAGUCCGGAUUGGAGUCUGCAACUCGACUCCAUGAAGUCGGAAUCGCUAGUAAUCGUGGAUCAGAAUGCCACGGUGAAUACGUUCCCGGGCCUUGUACACACCGCCCGUCACACCAUGGGAGUGGGCUGCAAAAGAAGUGGGUAGUUUAACCUUCGGGAGGACGCUCACCACUUUGUGGUUCAUGACUGGGGUGAAGUCGUAACAAGGUAACCG
rnacentral:rRNA from 1 species